UUAAGUUCAGCGGGUAGUCCUACCUGAUUUGAGGUCAAAUAUUCAAUAGAAUUGUCCAUGAAGACGAUUAGAAGCUGAACAGACAGAGAGCGACUAUACACGGCGUAGAUAAUUAUCACACCUGUGACGGAUCGCAAACGGUUCCGCUAAUGCAUUUCAGAGGAGCUGACCUUCUUUAACAAAGGGCCAGCAAACCUCCA
rnacentral:misc_RNA from 1 species